rnacentral:rRNA from 1 species
CCUACGGGUGGCAGCAGUGAGGAAUAUUGGUAAAUGGACGAGAGUCUGAACCAGCCAAGUAGUGUGAAGGAUGACUGCCCUAUGGGUUGUAAACUUCUUUUAUAUGGGAAUAAAAUGUACCACGUGUGGGAUUUUGUAUGUACCAUAUGAAUAAGGAUAGGCUAACUCCGUGCCAGCAGCCGCGGUAAUACGGAGGAUCCGAGCGUUAUCCGGAUUUAUUGGGUUUAAAGGGAGCGUAGGUGGAUUGUUAAGUCAGUUGUGACCGUUUGCGGCUCAACCGUAAAAUUGCAGUUGAAACUGGCAGUCUUGAGUACAGUAGCGGUGGGCGGAAUUCGUGGUGUAGCUGUGACAUGCUUAGAUAUCACGAAGACCUCCGAUUGCGACGGCAGCUCACUGGACUGCACCUGACACUGAGGCUCGAAAGUGUGGGUAUCAAACAGGAUUAGCUACCCCUGUAGUC